ACCUUUACUAUAGCUUGACACUGAACAUUGAGCCUUGAUGUGUAGGAUAGGUGGGAGGCUUUGAAGUGUGGACGCCAGUCUGCAUGGAGCCGACCUUGAAAUACCACCCUUUAAUGUUUGAUGUUCUAACGUGGACCCGUGAUCCGGGUUGCGGACAGUGUCUGGUGGGUAGUUUGACUGGGGCGGUCUCCUCCUAAAGAGUAACGGAGGAGCACGAAGGUUGGCUAAUCCUGGUCGGACAUCAGGAGGUUAGUGCAAUGGCAUAAGCCAGCUUGACUGCGAGCGUGACGGCGCGAGCAGGUGCGAAAGCAGGUCAUAGUGAUCCGGUGGUUCUGAAUGGAAGGGCCAUCGCUCAACGGAUAAAAGGUACUCCGGGGAUAACAGGCUGAUACCGCCCAAGAGUUCAUAUCGACGGCGGUGUUUGGCACCUCGAUGUCGGCUCAUCACAUCCUGGGGCUGAAGUAGGUCCCAAGGGUAUGGCUGUUCGCCAUUUAAAGUGGUACGCGAGCUGGGUUUAGAACGUCGUGAGACAGUUCGGUCCCUAUCUGCCGUGGGCGCUGGAGAACUGAGGGGGGCUGCUCCUAGUACGAGAGGACCGGAGUGGACGCAUCACUGGUGUUCGGGUUGUCAUGCCAAUGGCACUGCCCGGUAGCUAAAUGCGGAAGAGAUAAGUGCUGAAAGCAUCUAAGCACGAAACUUGCCCCGAGAUGAGUUCUCCCUGAGACUUA
rnacentral:rRNA from 1 species